UUGAGAAUUAAUUUACGGAUUAAGGAAACCGGCGCACGGGUGCGUAACGCGUAUGCAACUUGCCCUUAUCAGGAGGAUAGCCCGGGGAAACUCGGAUUAAUACUCCAUAAGAUUUUGGUUGGCAUCGAUUAAAAUUGAAAGAUUUAUUGGAUAAGGAUAGGCAUGCGUCAGAUUAGUUAGUUGGUAGUGUAAUGGACUACCAAGGCGAUGAUCUGUAGGGGGCCUGAGAGGGUGAACCCCCACACUGGUACUGAGACACGGACCAGACUCCUACGGGAGGCAGCAGUGAGGAAUAUUGGACAAUGGAGGGAACUCUGAUCCAGCCAUCCCGCGUGCAGGAAGACGGCCCUAUGGGUUGUAAACUGCUUUUGUAUGGGGAUAAAUCUACUUACGUGUAGGUAGUUGAAGGUACCAUACGAAUAAGCAUCGGCUAACUCCGUGCCAGCAGCCGCGGUAAUACGGAGGAUGCAAGCGUUAUCCGGAUUCAUUGGGUUUAAAGGGUCCGUAGGCGGGCUGAUAAGUCAGUGGUGAAAUUUUGUCGCUCAACGAUAAAACUGCCAUUGAUACUGUUAGUCUUGAGUGAUAUUGAAGUAGCUGGAAUGUGUAGUGUAGCGGUGAAAUGCAUAGAUAUUACACAGAACACCGAUUGCGAAGGCAGGUUACUAAGUAUUAACUGACGCUGAAGGACGAAAG
rnacentral:rRNA from 1 species